UUCUUGAUCAAAAAUAUAUGAGCAACACUUUAAAUAAGCGAUGGACAGUGUUGUUUAGUCCGUCACUUUUUGGUCAAAAUGUAGGUCAAACAAUUUUUAAAUAACCGUCGCUUUUGUUUAGUUAUGUUACAGCGGUGAUAGAUUUUCCCCUAAAUUUUCCCAUUCUCUUUCUCUCUUUUCUCUCUCUCCUCUACCUUCUCGACCCAUCACCGCACCAUCUGUUGCUGCCGCCACCACUGUCCAUUGUCGCUUCGCUACCAUUAUCCUCGCCCCGUCGCCAGCCAACCCAGCUGCCACCACGCCCAAAAUAACUCCCCAACUUCCCCUUCUUCUUGUUAUAAGGAUGUUAAGUAUUUAGGUCAAAGAGAACCAACAAGAAUUCCGCAUGCAGUGUUACACAAAUAUUGACGUUAUGAAUGUUCUAUCUUCAAAGCUUACUGAGUCACAUACAGACAUAUCUAUGGAAAUACAUGUUUUUCUCAACUAUGUAGCAUUCGUAGGUGUCACGUCCAGGCACAACUAAUUAAGUGCGUGUUUUUGAAAGAAAUUGAAGGUAGCUCAAAAGAUGCAAUCCUGAUACAUGUCAACGGCACUACUCUGCUAUUCACCAUUCGCAACUUUGCUUUAAUAACUGGGUUAAAAUGUUCAGAUAAUGAGAAUGAUUUUGUCUUUAAUACUGAAGAACCAAAUAUGAUUAUUUAUCAGUAUUUUGAAGUUGGAAAACCCGUCACCAAAGUCAAUUGAUUGACAAGUUUGAUAAAAAAAAAUUUAAUAGAUAAUGAUGAUGAUGCUGUUAAAUUUGCAA